CGACUAACCAAGACACCGAGAGGCAGAGACGACCUCCCCCGGUCCUAGAGGGACCGCUACGGACCCGGACAACUCCCGCGGGGGGCGGGGUUCUGACGAACUUCCGGCUGCGCCGGCCGCGGGGUGCGUCGAGGCACCAGAGCUUCGAGCGGCCCCAAAUCCGAUAUUUGAGUACCUGCAAAAUACCAGGUGUAUUGUAGAUGUUUGGAAUAUAGCAGUGAAGAAAACGGAUGAAAGUCUCUGCCCUCAGGAGUUGGUAUUCAAGAAGGAAACAGGCGGUUUAAAAAAAAAAAA